rnacentral:rRNA from 1 species
AACGAACGCUGGCGGCAUGCCUAACACAUGCCAGUCGAACGAGACCUUCGGGUCUAGUGGCGCACGGGUGCGUAACGCGUGGGAACCUGCCCUUAGGUUCGGAAUAACUCCCCGAAAGGGGUGCUAAUACCGGAUAAUGUCUUCGGACCAAAGAUUUAUCGCCUUUGGAUGGGCCCGCGUUGGAUUAGCUAGUUGGUAGGGUAAAAGCCUACCAAGGCGACGAUCCAUAGCUGGUCUGAGAGGAUGAUCAGCCACACUGGGACUGAGACACGGCCCAGACUCCUACGGGAGGCAGCAGUGGGGAAUAUUGGACAAUGGGCGAAAGCCUGAUCCAGCAAUGCCGCGUGAGUGAUGAAAGCCUUAGGGUUGUAAAGCUCUUUUACCCGGGAUGAUAAUGACAGUACCGGGAGAAUAAGCUCCGGCUAACUCCGUG